GUCAGCAGCCAUAUCACCUUGCAACUCACAACUGGCAACCCACUGAAGCUAAGCAGGUGUGAGCCUGGUCAGUACCUGCUCCUUGGAUGGGAGACCUCCUGGGAAAAACUAAGGUUGCUGCUGGAA
rnacentral:rRNA from 1 species